rnacentral:rRNA from 1 species
GACGAACGCUGGCGGCGUGCUUAACACAUGCAAGUCGAACGGAAAGGCCCUGCUUGCAGGGUACUCGAGUGGCGAACGGGUGAGUAACACGUGGGUGAUCUGCCCUGCACUUCGGGAUAAGCCUGGGAAACUGGGUCUAAUACCGGAUAGUAGCCAUUUUUAGUGUGAUGGUUGGAAAGUUUUUUCGGUGUAGGAUGAGCUCGCGGCCUAUCAGCUUGUUGGUGGGGUAAUGGCCUACCAAGGCGGCGACGGGUAGCCGGCCUGAGAGGGUGGACGGCCACAUUGGGACUGAGAUACGGCCCAGACGCCUACGGGAGGCAGCAGUGGGGAAUAUUGCACAAUGGGCGCAAGCCUGAUGCAGCGACGCCGCGUGGGGGAUGACGGCCUUCGGGUUGUAAACUCCUUUCGCUAGGGACGAAGCUUUUUGUGACGGUACCUAGAGAAGAAGCACCGGCUAACUACGUG